ensembl:lncRNA
GAGAAAGAUCAGGGGGUGUUAGUCUACAGCCAUCCGAACAUGUGCCAGCAAUGUGCCCAGAUAGCCAAGAAAGCCAAAGGCAUCCUGCUUUCUAUCGGUAACAGUGUCGUCAGCAGGCCCAAGGAAGGGAUUGUUCCUCUGCACUUGGCAACAGUAAGGCUGCACCUGGAGUACCAUGUUCAAGCAUGGGACCUUCACUACCAGAAAGACACGGAGAUGCAGGAGCAUCCAGAGCAAGGCAGUGAGGCUGGUGAAGGGUCUGGAGCACCAGCGUCACUUUUAUAGGGAGCGGCGGAGAGAACUGGGAUGUUUGGUCUGCAGGAGGCUCAGUGGAGACGUUAUCGCUCUCUACCAGGACCUGAGGGAAGGCUGUGGCAAGGUGGCGGUUGGCCUCUUCUCCCAGGCCGGCAGAAAAUGCUUUUGGUGGAGGAGAUGGUGGCGGCAAGCAGCGGCACCAGAGCCAGGUGCUGAGAGACAGGCAGGCAGGCACAGCAGUCCCCGGAGCGAGCCAUGGUGCCCCUGCAGUAAGGCUGACCAGGAGCUCCAGCAGCUGGUCCUGUCGGGACUGCCUGGGUGCAGGCCUGUGCUGGGCCCCGACUUCUGGCAGGCGGCCUGGAGGGACCUGGAGGAACUGGUGGAGCAGAACAGCCUGUCGUGCCACUGUUGCAGCUCUCGUGAG